AACGAACGCUGGCGGCGUGCUUAACACAUGCAAGUCGAACGCGAAAGGGACUUCGGUCCUGAGUAAAGUGGCGCACGGGUGAGUAACGCGUAGAUAACCUGUCUUCAUGUCUGGAAUAAUACGCCGAAAGGGGUACUAAUACCGGAUAUUCUUGCUUUUCAUAAGUUAUGCAAGCAAAGGUGGCCUCUGCAUAUGCGUACUGCAUGAAGAGGGGUCUGCGUACCAUUAGCUAGUAGGUGGGGUAAUGGCCUACCUAGGCGACGAUGGUUAGCGGGUCUGAGAGGAUGAUCCGCCACACUGGCACUGGAACACGGGCCAGACUCCUACGGGAGGCAGCAGUGAGGAAUAUUGCGCAAUGGGGGAAACCCUGACGCAGCGACGCCGCGUGAGUGAGGAAAGGCCUUCGGGUCGUAAAGCUCUGUCAAGAGGAAAGAAGUGUACAAUGGCUAAUACCUGUUGUAUUUGACGGUACCUCUAAAGGAAGCACCGGCUAACUCCGUGCCAGCAGCUGC
rnacentral:rRNA from 1 species